rnacentral:rRNA from 1 species
CCUACGGGUGGCAGCAGUGGGGAAUAUUGGGCAAUGGGCGCAAGCCUGACCCAGCAACGCAGCGUGAAGGAAGAAGGCUUUCGGGGUGGAAACUUCUUUUCUCAGGGACGAAGAAAGUGACGGUACCUGAGGAAUAAGCCAAGGCUAACUACGUGCAAGCAGCCGCGGUAAUACGUAGGUGGCAAGCGUUAUCCGGAUUUACUUGGUGUAAAGGGCGUGUAGGCGGGAAAGCAAGUCAGAUGUGAAAACCAUGGGCUCAACCUGUGGCCUGCAUUUGAAACUGUUUUUCUUGAGUACUGGAGAGGCAGACGGAAUUCCUCGUGUAGCGGUGAAAUGCGUAGAUAUGAGGAGGAACACCAGUGGCGAAGGCAGUCUGCUGUACAGCAACUGACGCUGAGGCGCGAAAGCGUGGGGAGCAAACAGGAUUAGAUACCCCUGUAGUC